CAAUAAUUUAUAGGCUUACAGCUUCACUCUGUCAAGAGGAUGCAGAAUGAGAACUCAUUCUCCUCUCUUUUUUACCUUUCCAACUUUCUGACAUCAGAAUUUUGCUCAUGAUAUUAGAAUUUUGACCUUGCUAUGUUGGUCAACUUGUGGCGGAGUCUCUUAUAGUCAGAUCUUUUGAUGUUGCAAGGCAGGUAAACUUCUCAUUUUGAAGCAGGGGAAAACAAACAAGCCUUGGUAAAAUUGGUAACUUGGGAGAGAUGUGCGGAUAAGCUUCAUUACAAGAAGAGAAAGGACAGGAAAGAGAAGGAGAAAUUGGUGAAGCUGGCAAAUUGUGAAAGCGAAAGAAAG